rnacentral:misc_RNA from 1 species
GAUGAAGAACGCAGCGAAAUGCGAUAAGUAGUGUGAAUUGCAGAAUUCAGUGAAUCAUCGAAUCUUUGAACGCACAUUGCGCCCCUUGGUAUUCCAUGGGGCAUGCCUGUUCGAGCGUCAUUUGUACCUUCAAGCUUUGCUUGGUGUUGGGUGUUUGUCCCUCGGGACUCGCCUUAAAGUCAUUGGCAGCCAGUGUUUUGGUUUUGAAGCGCAGCACAAGUCGCGAUUCAAGGCUAUCCGCCCGCUUCCACAAGCCUUUUUCACUUUUGACCUCGGAUCAGGUAGGGAUACCCGCUGAACUUAAGCAUAUCAAUAAGCAGGA